UGGCUCACUGGCUCACUGGCUCACUGGCUCACUGGCUCACUGGCUCACUCUGACCAUUUUACUCGCCCUAGCAGAGCUGGUUAGGCUGUUUUCGUGUUAUCAAAUCAAAUCCAAUGUUAUUUGUCACAUGCACCAAAUACAACAGGUGUUGUAGACCUUACAGUGAAAUGGUGAAUACAACAGGUGUAGGUAGACCUCACAGUGAAAUGCUGAAUACAACAGGUGUAGUAGACCUUACAGUGAAAUGCUGAAUACAACAGGUGUAGUAGACCUUACAGUGAAAUGGUGAAUACAACAGGUGUAGGUAGACCUCACAGUGAAAUGCUGAAUACAACAGGUGUAGUAGACCUUACAGUGAAAUGCUGAAUACAACAGGUGUAGGUAGACCUCACAGUGAAAUGCUGAAUACAACAGGUGUAGUAGACCUUACAGUGAAAUGCUGAAUACAACAGGUGUAGUAGACCUUACAGUGAAAUGCUGAAUACAACAGGUGUAGUAGACCUUACAGUGAAAUCCUGAAUACAACAGGUGUAGUAGACCUCACAGUGAAAUGCUGAAUACAACAGGUGUAGUAGACCUUACAGUGAAAUGCUGAAUACAACAGGUGUAGUAGACCUUACAGUGAAAUGCUGAAUACAACAGGUGUAGUAGACCUUACAGUGAAAUGCUGAAUACAACAGGUGUAGUAGACCUUACAGUGAAAUACUGAAUACAACAGGUGUAGUAGACCUGACAGUGAAAUGCUGAAUACAACAGGUGUAGUAGACCUUACAGUGAAAUGCUGAAUACAACAGGUGUAGUAGACCUGACAGUGAAAUACUGAAUACAACAGGUGUAGGUAGACCUCACAGUGAAAUGCUUCCUUACAAGCCCUUAACCAACAACGCAGUUUUUAGAAAAUACCUUCAAAAAGUAAGAUAACAAUAGCCAGACUAUAUACAGGGGGUACCGCUACAGAGACAAUGUGCGGGGGCACCAGUGUUGAGGUAAUUGAGGUAAUAUGUACAUGUAGGUAGAGUUAUUAAAGUGACUAUGCAUAGAUAAUAACAGAGAGUAGCAGCAGUGUAGAAGAGGGGGUGGGGGAAAUGCAAAUAGUCUUGGAAGCUAUUUGAUGAGAUGUUCAGGAGUCUUAUGGCUUGGGGGUAGAAGCUGUUAAGGAGCCUCUUGGACCUGGCGCUCUGGUACCACUUUCCAUGCAGUAGCAGAGAGAACAGUCUAGGACUAGGGUGGCUGGAGUCUUUGACAAUUUUUAGGGCCUUCCUCUGACACCGCCUGGUAUAGAGGUCCUGGAUGGCAGGAAGCCUGGCCCAGUGAUGUACUGUGCAACGUUGGUAAGUGUAACUGUGCAGCUGGCAACAAUUUAAUAACGGUUCGUUUUUUUUUGCCGACGUUAUUCUGCGCGAGAGUGCUCUGAAAUAUAUAUACCACUUAGCUAAAAAAUGAUGUGAGUAAUCAAGUCAAUAAACGUUGGGUUUCACAGUGCUGUAAUGCUAUGUGGUCCAUAAGGAUAGAGUAGCUAACAUACUGGUACAUACUGCUGUAAUGCUAUGUGGUCCAUAAGGAUAGAGUAGCUAACGUACUGCUGUAAUGCUAUGUGGUCCAUAAGGAUAGAGUAGCUAACAUACUGGUACAUACUGCUGUAAUGCUAUGUGGUCCUUAAGGAUAGAGUAGCUAACAUACUGGUACAUACUGCUGUAAUGCUAUGUGGUCCAUAAGGAUAGAGUAGCUAACAUACUGGUACAUACUG
ensembl:lncRNA